CUCUCUAAGCUUGGGAAGUUUCUUGUAAACAGAUUUUUGAGCUGCUUUGGUAGGUCAUCAACCCCAGCCAUCCCCUCCUGUUUAUUUAUUUGAAGGUGUUUUGCAAAAUUAUUGGGAUUGUCAUCUUUUCCACGGCCAAAAUGUAAUGCCAGCUGUUUGAAGACGGGAACUUGCUGUCAUCCGCAUUGUUCCAGUAGGUGUUCCAGAAACUUCCUGAAUGGGGUUCACCAAGUUGGGACUAUUUUUAGUGGGAGGUAAAAAGGUCUUCUGGGAAGUUCAGAGCUUCUGUAAAUGAUAGAUAAAGAGUGGAAAGGGAAGCAGAGCGACCUGGAACACCUAGUUUGUGUUCGGAUCUGUGACACUGGAGACUGCACAGUAAUGUAUAAACAAAACCAAAAGGGGAAAUUAUUUUUGUCAGCUAGAAAAUUUUAUUUUUAAAGUAGUCACAGUUACAGGAAAUAUUACAGAUUAUGUGGCACCGUACGGCCUUUAUUUAUCUGCUUUUUCAUUGCCACAGAGUACACGUUAACCUUGAGAGUACCUUUUAAAAAAAAUCCCAGAAAACUGAGUCCUUGAUUUCCUAUUUACUUUCAAUAAUAAUUCAGGUUUUGUGUCAAAAUACUAAUAAAUAUUGCCAAAA